rnacentral:rRNA from 1 species
AAAUUGAAGAGUUUGAUCAUGGCUCAGAUUGAACGCUGGCGGCAGGCCUAACACAUGCAAGUCGAGCGGAAACGAGUUAUCUGAACCUUCGGGGGACGAUAACGGCGUCGAGCGGCGGACGGGUGAGUAAUGCCUAGGAAAUUGCCCUGAUGUGGGGGAUAACCAUUGGAAACGAUGGCUAAUACCGCAUAAUGCCUACGGGCCAAAGAGGGGGACCUUCGGGCCUCUCGCGUCAGGAUAUGCCUAGGUGGGAUUAGCUAGUUGGUGAGGUAAUGGCUCACCAAGGCGACGAUCCCUAGCUGGUCUGAGAGGAUGAUCAGCCACACUGGAACUGAGACACGGUCCAGACUCCUACGGGAGGCAGCAGUGGGGAAUAUUGCACAAUGGGCGCAAGCCUGAUGCAGCCAUGCCGCGUGUGUGAAGAAGGCCUUCGGGUUGUAAAGCACUUUCAGUCGUGAGGAAGGUAGUGUAGUUAAUAGCUGCAUUACUUGACGUUAGCGACAGAAGAAGCACCGGCUAACUCCGUGCCAGCAGCCGCGGUAAUACGGAGGGUGCGAGCGUUAAUCGGAAUUACUGGGCGUAAAGCGCAUGCAGGUGGUUUGUUAAGUCAGAUGUGAAAGCCCGGGGCUCAACCUCGGAAUAGCAUUUGAAACUGGCAGACUAGAGUACUGUAGAGGGGGGUAGAAUUUCAGGUGUAGCGGUGAAAUGCGUAGAGAUCUGAAGGAAUACCGGUGGCGAAGGCGGCCCCCUGGACAGAUACUGACACUCAGAUGCGAAAGCGUGGGGAGCAAACAGGAUUAGAUACCCUGGUAGUCCACGCCGUAAACGAUGUCUACUUGGAGGUUGUGGCCUUGAGCCGUGGCUUUCGGAGCUAACGCGUUAAGUAGACCGCCUGGGGAGUACGGUCGCAAGAUUAAAACUCAAAUGAAUUGACGGGGGCCCGCACAAGCGGUGGAGCAUGUGGUUUAAUUCGAUGCAACGCGAAGAACCUUACCUACUCUUGACAUCCAGAGAACUUUCCAGAGAUGGAUUGGUGCCUUCGGGAACUCUGAGACAGGUGCUGCAUGGCUGUCGUCAGCUCGUGUUGUGAAAUGUUGGGUUAAGUCCCGCAACGAGCGCAACCCUUAUCCUUGUUUGCCAGCGAGUAAUGUCGGGAACUCCAGGGAGACUGCCGGUGAUAAACCGGAGGAAGGUGGGGACGACGUCAAGUCAUCAUGGCCCUUACGAGUAGGGCUACACACGUGCUACAAUGGCGCAUACAGAGGGCAGCAAGCUAGCGAUAGUGAGCGAAUCCCAAAAAGUGCGUCGUAGUCCGGAUUGGAGUCUGCAACUCGACUCCAUGAAGUCGGAAUCGCUAGUAAUCGUGGAUCAGAAUGCCACGGUGAAUACGUUCCCGGGCCUUGUACACACCGCCCGUCACACCAUGGGAGUGGGCUGCAAAAGAAGUAGGUAGUUUAACCUUCGGGAGGACGCUUACCACUUUGUGGUUCAUGACUGGGGUGAAGUCGUAACAAGGUAGCGCUAGGGGAACCUGGCGCUGGAUCACCUCCUUAAACGAUGAU